UACCGCUGAGCUAAAUCCUCAAUCUUUUAUCUUUUUUAAUCCCUUAUCUUUUAUAUACCUUUUGUGUCGUAUCUGAGAAGUCGUCGCUAAGUCCAAUAUUAUGAAGCCUCUUCCACGUGUUGCCCUCCGAAAGCUCCCAUCCACCCAGGGAAGGAGGCACCAUUGCCAUUCUCGAAGAUGAAGAAAGUGAGGCUCAGAGGACUUGAGUAACAUGUCCAAGGCCACCGGGUUGGAAAGACUCCCAGUCUGGAUCGGCUGUCAGCAGGCUUAGCCACAGCCAUUCUGGCUGUGACACACACUCAUCAUUUUCCGAUAAGCAGUUUUGUAAGGCUCCCGUGAGGAAAUAGAUGAUGGUUGAAAGUUAAGAGAGCCAUAUUGCCUUCACGAAAUGCUCCAGCGUUUCCCUGCCACAUUCAGAAGACAGCCCAGGCUCCUUCCUCUGACUCACUGGUGCUACCUGCUCCACCCCAGCCUGCUCUGCUGAUCCUGGUGGCUCUGCACCUUUGUCUUCUAGACCUUCCGCCAUCCAAGCCUGUGCCUUAACAGGUAACCUUCUGCUCACUUCCUAAGUCAUGGCUGGCUGUGUCUGCAUUCCUAAGGAAGCUUGCUCUGACUGCUGCCCAGCUGCCCCGUCUUCCUAACCUAUUUUAUGCUCUUUACAGUGUUUCCUGACAGAAGCUUGCUGACUUGUUUAUUUUUCAUUCACCAAUAGGCCAGAAUGGACGAAGCCAAGAGUCAUCUUCCUUGCCUUGUUCCCAGAGCAUUGAACAACCCUGGGCACACAGUAGGUGCUCAGUAAAUAUUUGUGGACUGAAGACUUUGUGGAUUUGUCAGUGCUAGGAAUUCUUUCUCUCAGGGCCCUCUACAAUGACCUGGGACAGUUGGUCCCACGCAUCAGGUGGAGAUGAGGAAGGCUGUACAAUCCAGAGCCCUGGGGAGCAAGAUUAUGAGCUUGGCGUUGACCAUGAUGGGAACUUUAUUCCGAGGGAACAGACGAACAGAACACACUGGGGCUCUUAUUGUCCUCCGAGAACCGGUUGUUGUAUUUGCUGGCUCCUAACUGAUAUAAGGGAAGAUACAGAGGAUAUGUCUUCAGAACUCCCUGGGGAUGGGAAGCAGAAGAUUAAUUCCCAGGGAAGCCUUCAACAACGAGGGCAAAGAACUCGUGGAAAGUUCUAGCCUCCUGUUCUUCUGAUGGGAAAUCCUGGACAGCCUCUAUACCUUUCCUAGAGUGAAGUCCUGUUCUUCUGUCUUUGUGGCCUCUUCUUCCCUCAUGCUUCUCGGGCUCACCUCCUGGGUCAGCUGCUUCUAUCAAAGUCUUACCCCAGACUCUGCUCUUAAACUAGGGCCAUGUAGGGUAAGUCGGACAUGGUGAGUAUGAACCUGGAGAUGGGGGAUGGGCUCCAUGCAGAUAUCCUCUCCCCUCCCACACACAGUGGAAGGCAGACAGACAGACAGACAGACAGAUUCCUCUACUUGUGCCUUUGGUUGGUCCUAACUCCUGGCAUUCCUUACCCUGGAUUUUGGGAUCAGUGUUGACUGUGGACUGCCUGGUGUCUUCUCUGAGGCCCGUGGGCCAGCCAGGAGGUAAAUCAAGUAUGGAGUCUCUGUGGAGAACUCCUCAGAGGGCUCACUGUGUCUGUUGAGAUGUUUGGUUGCCGUCCCUCUGUGGUGACCUAGCUCAGACUCUGGCUGGUCAUUUUAUUGGUCUGUCCCUUCCCCUGGCCUGUUUCCUCCUGUCCUAUCAUCCUGUUUUGCUGAAGCUGGAUGUCUCUGUUCAGUGGUCUGGAGCUCUCCUGAGCUCUGAGUGUCCUACAGGGUAUGUCACAGCUGGCUCCCAGCCCUGCUCACGUGUCUUCAUGAGGGUUGACUAUGCAGAUUUGUAUUCUGAAGGCCCCUGUCAUGGGAACUGAUUCUACCUGUCCCAUCCUCGUCAAGUAGGAUACUCAGCAUGGCUCCUUCCUCAGUGUUUCCAAUUAAGCAUGGGUAAUAAAUGCCACCCAGUGUCUGGCGAACUCAGCUACUGCAGUGAGAGAGACGAGACUGAGCCUCCACACAGGGCAGCCAGCCAUGGGCACCCUGCCUGUUCACAGAGGCAGUUCCAUACACCCUGGCCUAAUCCUUACCUGCUUGCUUCCUACUUUAGGUCCCUUUCUUAUUUUUCUUAAUGCCCUUCCAUUUUGCACAUCCUGGUGUGGGCUGCCUUUUGGGAGAUGGUUGGGCAGUGGGCCCUUUUCCUACCAGGACACUCAUUUCUUGCUCCUUGCCUAUGACACAACCUAGUCUCCCCCUUCUUCCCUGGGGGCCUGGCUCCCUUCUUCACCAUCAGCCCCUCCCACUUUUCCCUUCUGAAGCUCACCAGAACUUUCUGACUCAUCCUCUGACUCAGGUGGAGUCUAUUUCUGUUCCCACGUACUGCUCCCGGGUGGGCUGGAGAUCACAGCUGCCACCUCCGUUCCUGUGAGAGUAUGGUGUAUGUAUA
rnacentral:sRNA from 1 species